CACGUCACAAACACAAAUAAUAGAAAGAUAGACUUCCAGAAGUUUUAGAGAGGGAGAGAAGAGAAGAGAGAUACGGUGGAAGGACCACCGUUUCUGGUGGUGAACCCGGCUGCGCACGACAGCGCCUCUCACUUCCGACGCAUAAACGACUGCCAUGGCGGUGGUGAGUUGUGGAGUUGUACUUCGGAAACAAACCUGGGCCGGUCAACGAACCCGGUUCAAGGCGUUUGUGGUGGUGGGUGAUGGUAACGGGCACGUGGGUUUGGGGGUGAAGUGUUUGAAGGAGGUUGCGAUUGCUAUUAGGGGUGCGAUUAUUCUGGCGAAGUUGUCGGUCGUUCCGGUGAGGAGAGGGUAUUGGGGGAAUAAAAUUGGGAACGUCCAUACGGUGCUGACUAAGGUGACGGGAAAAUGUGGGUCGGUUACGGUUAGGUUGGUUUCUGCGCCUUGUGGGGCCAGGAUUGUGGCUGCCAGAGUGCCCAAGAAGGUGUUGCAGUUUGCUGGGAUUGCUGAUGUGUUUACGUCAUCGAGGGGAUCUGCUAAGACUCUCGGGAACUUUGUGAAGUAUACCAGAUCAAUCACACGCAGUGAAUACAUGUACGAUUCGCUAAUGAAUCGAAAAAGAUAUCUUAUUGUAACCAAUGGUGUUGAGGUUCACCUCUUGGGUUUCUUCACCAAUUGUGGAAAGAUUCGCUUUUACUGCUGGGACACAACUGGACAGCGUGUAUUGCAACCGUGUCCGUGCGACGGCGGUGACAGAGACGCGGUGGCAACCGGCUACGGGCACGGCUUCUCCAUUCGUUCUGCAAUUCUCCGACAAAGGGGCUAUUGUGAAUAUUGGUUCUCAUGCUGCAAUAAAAGUGUAUGUGAUCAGUUUUCGAGGUGGUGUUUGUAUGUUGAGGAUCAUGUUCAUUAGUGGUGGUUGCAACAUUUCAAAGACAUAAAGCAAUAGGUCUCACGCCACAACACGCGGAGACAACCAACUUAGCGAACGCUUUGUCCCUCCGACGCAACGCACGACAGGCUAAUUUCAUAUCAUUCUCAACAGCUUCACUUGAAUGAAUGAUUUGUUUUUAAUCCUUUUGAAAGAGGGGCAGCUAUUAAACUUUUUACAUGUAUUUAAAAUUAAGUAUCAUGUGGAAAAGAGCUCCCUGGUCUGUUUUGAAACGUGACAAGAGAAAGUAAGUGUUCUGUCGGUCUGUCGGUUCCAAAAGGUAGUAGCAAAGUGGAGAAGAUAUCAACUGUAAUAACUGGAGCUGACAAAAAGUUGCUGAAAAUAGAACUCCAAGACAAGGGGUAAGUCUUCUCCUUCAUAACCAAAUUAUUAUAACGGUGCUUAUUACACUUGGUAGGCUAACAAGUUUAUACUUUGUUUGUGAAACAUGUCAAAUUGCCACCGCUGCAUGAGUACGAUGUAAAAGUCAUACAAAGUGUAUAUUUAUAAACUUAAAUAUUUUGCUCCAAAAAUAUUGUAAAUUAUAAACUAAGGUACCACAUGUUUCAUGCAUGGUUUUGUGCUAUUACACAAUUAUUAAUAUAAAUAUAACAUUGUAGUUAUACUUGUUACUCGGAUUUAUGUGACGAAAGAAGCAUGAUAAGGUCUUUAUAUCUAAUUGACUGCACAUCAAUUUCGUUGGCCGCGGCGCAACGCGCGCGGCUCACUUUUCUAGUUACAUCUAUAGAAAACUAUUGUUUCAACAUUAAACUUUGGGGAUGGAUGAUGUAUAAAGACAACACACCUAUUAAACCGUGGCCUAUUGUGAGGCGUGGGUUGGGAGCAUGGUGCGACACGUGAAGUAUAGGGCACUUAAGACCAAAAGCCAAUUUCAAAGGGGUAUGAUGGGGCGUGGCUGGGUGGCGUGGCCAAGCCACAUCAUAAUGAGGUUCCGCCAUGGCUAUUGCUCUUGGCCAAUGAGGUUCCGCCAUGUCAUGUGGGUAGCCCCGCCCAACGCCCGGGCUGAAUCCCACACCAAAAGGGUCACGCUGAAACCCAAGCCCACCCGGGGUGGUGACUUGGGCGUUUGUACCCAACCCCCGCCCCAUACGCCAUAGUGGAUAAUGGAUUUUAAUAAUCCAAACUAUUAGCUGUUGGCCGGUAACAGUCCCAACUUCAAAAAUAACCAGUGGUGGUCCCACUUUUUCACAUAUUGUAAAUUAAUGGACUUUUACUAAAAAAAACAUUAAUUUCUUUUUGUCCCCUUAUCAUUUUCGGUUUAGUAAAGGUCCAUUGGUUUACAAUAUACAAAAAGGUGGGACCACUACUGGUUAUUUUUUAAGUUGGGACCGUUGCCGGCUAACGGCUAAUAGUUAGGACUAUUAAAAUCCAAUAUUUCUUACCUAAAUACAACAAAUACAAAGGUCGGCGGGAAUAGUGCCUCCCAUUGAUUUGAUUGGAGGAAAGGGGCGACAAGGGGAAUAGUACAAGACACCUGCCUGGCACUUCCCUAUUGGCCCAAUUAAUUUAUGAUUUUAUUCCGCUUUAAAAUUAUGAUUUUGCCGUCCGUUCAAAAUUACGUUUUUGCCCCUAGUUAAAUAUAUAUUUACCCUUUUGCCCCAGCUCAAAAUUACGAUUUUGCCCUCGAUAGAAAAAAUACGAUUUGACCCUCAGCCAAAAUUACGAUUUUGCCCCAGUUCAAAAUAAAAAAUAUGUUUUUCCCUAGCUAAAAGUUACGAUUUUACACCAUUUUAUUAUUUUGCACCAUUUUAAAAUGACGUUUUCCGCCUCCAAUUUAAAAUUACGUCCCCCCCCCCCCCUUAAAAAUAAACAUAUGCUUUUGCCCCCGCUCAAAAUUAUGAUUUUACCCUCAUUUCAAAAAUACGUUUUCGCCCCCAGUUCAAAAUAAAAAUAUGGUUUUCCCCUGUUCAAAAUUACGAGUUUAUCAUCGGUUUAAAAUUAUGAUUUUGCCUCCAGUUCAAAAUAAAAUAUAGUAUUGUUUUUUAAUUGGUUGAGAAUUAUUCGGCCAUCGUCCCGCAACGCAGGCGAGGCAUCAACUAGUUGGCAAACAAACUAAAAGUGAAUUAUGGUUUUUUUUCUUAAAUAAAUUUAAUGUUAUAUACUUAUAUUCAUACAACCACUAGUAGUUUAGUGGCGUCCAUGACAUUAUAGCUUAGUGACAUCUUAAGGGUGAUAUAAGGUUUAGGACCAUCAGGUUCCCGGUUCGAUUCCCACAAUAGAGUUUUUUCCAGAUUUAUUGGGUUUCCUCCUGAAUUUGUGUAUAGGUAUUAUAGCAUAGUGGAGAUAGAUAUGAUCGGGUCGUUCUGUUGGUGACACGAUGAUACUCCAGUGGUCCGUCAGUGAUCCAAAUUUACCGUUAAGAAAAGUAGUUUAGUGGCAAAGGUGUAUGAGUUUUUUAUGGUUCAGGCAUAGAUCUAGAAACAAUCAUAUCUCAUGGUUGGAUUGGUGUAAUUUUUCUUUGAUGUAAUUUUUGGUUUCCCCGCUCGGUUUUCGGGCUUGGAGUUGUGCUUAAUGAAAUUUUCUUUUAAAAAAAAAGGUUCGAGUCUCAUUUGAGACCUACGGUAGAAUUAUAUAUAUCUAUGGUUCCCAUUAAGUCUAACCACCAUCAAAAUAAAUAUCCACCAUUGGAUCAUGCUAAGAUGAAAUCUCAACCAUUUAAACUCAUUUUUUAACUGCUAUUGUGGCAGUUCACAACAGUUUCUUCUACCUUCAACCCACAUCUACAUCUUCAACCCACGUCUUCAUCCUUCCCCUAUUGAUAAGUUUCAUUGGUUUCUCUAGAAACUCCCCACUCCCCUACUACUUCGCCUGAAACUAGUAACAACCCCGCUCCCCAUAUUCCACCGUUGUUGUUACGCACAGACUUACAAACCCUGGAACCCCUUCUUCUUCUUCUUCUUCUCUCCUCUCUCUCUCUCUCUAGCGAUGACAUAAGCACUUCCAAAAACAAAGAUCAGUGCAAUUCUGAUAGUUGCAACGCAACAAUCGAACCCUAAUCGAACAACCACUGCCCUCGCUUCGACGACUCCUGCAAUUUGAUUUGUUAUGUUUCACAUGACCAAGUAACAGUCGAACUCUCUCUUCAAUUUUUUCGAUUAUGGCUUUGUCAAUUUUUAUUUGGUUUAUCAUCACGACGACUUAAAUAUAGAAUCUAAUCUCUCUGUGAUGGAUAGAUUCUAUGGUGGUGGUAUGAAUGGUUUAAGAGGUAAGAGAACUCUGCUUCUUAACGAAAAAGUAAACUUAAAAAAACUCUCUCAUAGAACUGAAAUUGGACUUCUUCUUUAAAUAUUUUGAAAUCUAGCUGAAAAUGAGAUUAU